ensembl:lncRNA
CAUGGGGGCAGUAUGAUGGAGCAUAUCAAUAGCCUUUUGGACAUGUUGCCAACCAGCUAGAGAACAAUGACGGAGGUGCAGUUGUACUUGUGGGACAGCCAUUCAAUCAUUCCCCUGCAUCAGGCCUUAUCAGCCGCAAGGUCUCUAGAGGAACCGGAUCCCGGUCUUCGUCAGUCUGAUGUUCCUGAAAGAGGCACGCAAAGAUCAAGCAACCCCCUCUACAACACACAAACACACACACAAACACACACACACACACACACACACACUGUAUUCCAGGGCUCCACAGGAGAAUAACCGUGCUGUUUUCUGCAAAUGCUGUUGAAAGAUAGCAAAACAGUACCUAAUAUAAACGCACGCACACAAACACACACACACACUUGCGUGCACAUGAACAAAAUUAAACCAUCACAACUGGCAAGCUGAAUGGGUCGAUAAGGUAAAACCUGAACCAAUAUCUGCACUCCCCACACACACACACACACACACACACACACACACACACGGCGCAGGAGGACAGAUGCUUCCUUGUCUCGUCCUCUGACACUCUAUUCUGAGCCAGCUGGAGAGAAGAUGGGAUUGGGGGUUGAUGGGUUCCAUCUUCUUUGCUUCUUUCCCUGCCAUACUCGUUCUCCCCAAGGCUGUGGGUUCCCCGUUGGGCUGUCUGUCCUCGCCGGCUAAGCCCUCAUCCUACAAACAAUACAUAUCCUUGUCAAUCCCUGUGUAAUACUGUGUAAUUGCUUGGCUGAAGUGGGAGUUGUUUACCCUUUUCCGGUGACGCAACCAGCCCCCUACCCGCUAAUCACCAAACCCUGUGUCACUGAACUACAUGGUGUACAUGUAGUAACAGAGUGGGCGGAGAUACGAUUUUGUUGUUUGAUAUUUUUGUCCAGGACUGAGGAGACUAUGCGACUGAAGAGCCUUAAAUAUAGGUCUGUGAGACUCGUGGGUGGGCGACCCUCCCUAUAGGGUAAGGCAUACUUAACCCACACCCUGACCCCAGGCCAAGGGAGCCAGACACGCGGAGAGAGGGAUAUACCUCGAUACAGGAGUAGAGGACAGACGGAAGACAAACAAAAGGCAGAACUGUGGAAAGAUAAAGAGAGAGAGAGAGGUAUGCAGGGAGCACAGAGAAGUGUUUGUGUUUGAGGCAGUGUUUGACUGACGAGAAAGAAAGCAGCCGGACGGAAGAAAAGAAAAAGAGAAAUGAAACUAAGAAACGGUAAAAGAAGCGCAGAGGGGGAGGAAUUAGUAUCGCUGAAGGAUGACUAGCGACGCCAUGGAACACCUUUAGGGCUGGAACAACUCCCUACUCCUCCCUCCCUCUCACCCGGUCUGCUGGCUUUCUCUCUGCUUGACUGCUACAGUGCAACAAAGAGCGCGCGAGAGAGAGAGAGAGAGAGCGCGUUCAGCGGAGGUAGUCUCGGCAGCCAGUCGGAUGCCAGUGGCUCUGAGUAAGGACUACAUACGUCGUCGAGAAGGAUUCCACCAGAGGUCUGGCGUCGCUCCCGACGCACUGACAGACGGAAUAAGAUCAGCCGCCAGAGACACGGCUUCAGGACUCCCACAGAGCGGCUGGGAACGAUAAGGACAAAACUACAACCCAAGCGCCGAAAACUAACGAAAAAAAGACUCCUCUGAUCCUCCCGGAGGGGGUUGAGGCGGAGUGAACGUGAGAAAAAAAGAGUGUUACUUCUGUGCAUGGGAUGACCAAAGAGCUCCUCCACGCAGAGAGAGACAGACAGAGAGAGAGAGAGAGACCCAGAGAGAAACAGGUUUGGAGCGUUGACAGAGAGAGGGAAUCACAGAGCCAGAGCGUGUGCGCGUGGCAGCGCAGCGGGAGAACACAGGGCUUGAGCGGGAGACGUGUACGGCGUCCCCGUCGCUGCGUUUGCCCCAGCUCGGCCGGUAGCUGGAGGCAGAGGAGGGCGGGGAGGAGGGGGG